GGACCCGCACAAGUAGUGGAGCAUGUGGUUUAAUUCGAAGAUACGCGCAGAACCUUACCAACACUUGACAUGUUCGUCGCGACUCUAAGAGAUUAGAGUUUUCGGUUCGGCCGGACGAAACACAGGUGCUGCAUGGCUGUCGUCAGCUCGUGUCGUGAGAUGUUGGGUUAAGUCCCGCAACGAGCGCAACCCUCACUUUUAGUUGCCAUCAUUAAGUUGGGCACUCUGAAAGAACUGCCAGUGAUAAGCUGGAGGAAGGUGGGGAUGACGUCAAGUCCUCAUGGCCCUUACGUGUUGGGCUACACACGUGCUACAAUGGUAACUACAGUAGGAUGCAAUAGUGCGAACUUGAGCGAAUCCUCAAAAGUUAUCUUAGUCCGGAUUGUAAGCUGCAACUCGCUUACAUGAAGCUGGAAUCGCUAGUAAUCGUAGAUC
rnacentral:rRNA from 1 species